rnacentral:rRNA from 1 species
GCCUCUUGAUUAAACCAUAAGAGGUCCAGCCUGCCCAGUGACAUUGUUCAACGGCCGCGGUAUCCUAACCGUGCGAAGGUAGCGUAAUCACUUGUCCUUUAAAUGAAGACUAGUAUGAAUGGCCCCACGAAAGCUAUACUGUCUCCUUUUUCUAAUCAGUUAAACUAAUCUCCCCGUGAAGAAGCGGGGAUAAACAUAUAAGACGAGAAGACCCUAUGGAGCUUUAAACAACUGAAACAUUUGUAUACCUCCCUUCACCUACCCACAUUUAACUCCACAUCUUGUUUCUAGUUUUAGGUUGGGGUGACCACGGAGAAAAAACUAACCUCCACGAUGAAAGAGACAUCUCUAAACAAAAAGCUACAUCUUUAUGUAUUAAUACAUUAACCUUUAUUGACCCAAUAAAUUGAUCAACGAA